rnacentral:rRNA from 1 species
AGUGAACGCUGGCGGUAGGCCUAACACAUGCAAGUCGAACGGCAGCACAGUAAGAGCUUGCUCUUACGGGUGGCGAGUGGCGGACGGGUGAGGAAUACAUCGGAAUCUACUUUUUCGUGGGGGAUAACGUAGGGAAACUUACGCUAAUACCGCAUACGACCUACGGGUGAAAGCAGGGGAUCUUCGGACCUUGCGCGAUUGAAUGAGCCGAUGUCGGAUUAGCUAGUUGGCGGGGUAAAGGCCCACCAAGGCGACGAUCCGUAGCUGGUCUGAGAGGAUGAACGGCCACAAUGGGACUGAGAGACGGCCAAGAGGGCUACGGGAGGCAGCGGUGGGGAAUAUUGCACAAUGGGCGCGAGUGUGAGGCAGCGACGCCGGGUUAGGGAUGACGUCCUUCGGGUUGUAAACCGCAUUCAGCAGGGAAGAAGCGAAAGUGACGGUACCUAAAGAAGAAGCACCGGCUAACUACGUG